rnacentral:misc_RNA from 1 species
UCCGGUUUGUCACCGGCAGUCAACCUAGAGUGCCCACCAUCACGUGCUGGCAACUAAGUUCAAGGGUUGCGCUCGUUGCGGGACUUAACCCAACAUCUCACGACACGAGCUGACGACAACCAUGCACCACCUGUCUCCUCUGUCCCGAAGGCCGCUGCUAUCUCUAACAGAUUCAGAGGGAUGUCAAGACCUGGUAAGGUUCUUCGCGUUGCUUCGAAUUAAACCACAUGCUCCGCCGCUUGUGCGGGCCCCCGUCAAUUCCUUUGAGUUUUAGCCUUGCGGCCGUACUCCCCAGGCGGGGCGCUUAAUGCGUUAGCUACGGCACGGAUCCCGUGGAAGGAAACCCACACCUAGCGCCCACCGUUUACGGCGUGGACUAC